CUAAGUGUAAAUAUACCACUUUGAAACUGCGAAUGGCUCAUUAUAUCAGUCAUAGUUUGUUUGAUAAUCCCUUACUACUUGGAUAACCGUAGUAAUUCUAGAGCUAAUACAUGCAUCAAUACUUUUAAAGGUAGUAUUUAUUAGAUUGAAACCAAUCCCUUCGGGGUGACAUGGUGAUUCAAAGUAAGUUUGCAGAUCGCAUGGCUAUGCUGGCGAUGGAUCUUUCAAGUUUCUGCCCUAUCAGCUUUGGAUGGUAGGGUAUUGGCCUACCAUGGCUUUAACGGGUAACGGAGGAUUAGGGUUUGAUUCCGGAGAGGGAGCCUUAGAGAUGGCUACCACAUCCAAGGAAGGCAGCAGGCACGUAAAUUACCCAAUCCUAAUACAGGGAGGUAGUGAUAAUAAAUAACAAUGCGGGGCCUUUCUAGGUCUGGCACUUGGAAUGAAAACAAUUUAAAUCCCUUAUUAAGGAUCAAUUGGAGGGCAA
rnacentral:rRNA from 1 species